rnacentral:lncRNA from 1 species
GGGUCUCCUGUCCGUGCGGCGGGGGAGGCGUGUUACGGCGAAAGGAGGGAUUUUUGCGGAGAGGAAGGAGCGGGGAGUAACCCGCAGCUUCACAGGACUGGACGCCGGGAACCGUCAGCCUCCUCCCGUCUUUUCUUCUUUCUGGACCUGGCGGGACCUCUCGAUUGACAGUCGAGGGUCCGAACCGGCAGACAGACGCGCGGUGCGGGGACCGUAGACUACAAGGCGGGGGAGGCCAUGAUUCCUGCGGGCGGGCCGUGGAUCUGGGGCCUCGGCCGCCACCCAGACCCACGCCCAAUCCUUCGGCGCUUCUCGAAGCUCCCGCGGCAGUUUCGGUCUUUGGGGGCUGCCCCAGUUGAGAGCGCCUGCCGGAAGGGGCUGCCUCCCUGGAUGGGGGCAAAAUUCGCAUUUCUCCGCUAACUGUUCAAGGAGAAAAAGGAGAAAAUUUUUCUUUUUCAAUCACCCCUGUGGCAUGUGGAGGUUCCUGGGCCAGGGAUCGAAUCUGAGCUACAACUGCAGCAAUGCCAGAUCCUUAACCCCUGUGCCAGACCAGAAAUUAAACCUGUGCCCCAGAGCUCCAGAGACGCCAACGAUCCCAUUGUGCCACCGUGGGAACCCCAAGCACUUGCUUUUCUACGUUUGAGUAGCGGUAAAAGUCCCCUUCCGUCCAGGAACCUUCCCGGGAAUGACAAAUAACAGCAGGAAAGCACGGUUGUGCCACUUUGUAUUCUUGCAACAGUUCCACCUCAGAGAGCAAUGAAAGCUACAACUACAAUGUACGGAACAGGAACUCAGGACCGUACAUUGUGUUUCACAACUGUUGCUGCCUUUGGUCUCACACUUGAUUGUCUCCAGCUCAGGCUUCAGGAUGAGAAGCUUGAAUCUGGAGGUGCUGACUUUUCCCCUCAUCGCAGUGUUCCUGAGACCAUCCAAGCUGUUGCGUGUAUCAGUACAUCUUUCCUUGUCUUCCCUGACUCAUAGUCCAUGCUCAGGAUGUACCACAGUUUGUUCAAGCAAGAGGGACAUUUUGGCUUGCUCCCAAGUUUUUGUCUGUUACAAAUAAAGUUUCUGUGA